rnacentral:lncRNA from 1 species
AUAAAUAACCAACUAUGCUGUGCAAGUUUUCAACAUUGCUAAAGGUCAUAUGAUUUGAUCUCUGAUUGAUCAUUGUCUCGUUGGCAACCAUGCUACAUCUUCUUAUCGUUAUAUUAAAGUUUUGAAUGUAAUAUUAAAAAUUAAAUGAUAAAAUGAUUAAGUUAAGUACUGGAAAUGAUCAAUUUUUCAAAAAGGACAAAAAACAUGUAAUCAAAGCUUCCAGAUAUGCGUCUAUGGUGUUGCACGCAUACACGGCUAUUUAUUGUAAUAAAGUUUAUGAUAUGAGGUAAGCACGAUAUAUGAUAGAUUAUUAGAAAAAAACGUGUAAACAUCAUUUAAGUUUCUUUUUUUGUUAAACCGAAUAGUUGCGAUGCAAAAUUAUGUUUUCUAAAUUUAUUAAAUGCA